AUUGAACGCUGGCGGCAUGCCUUACACAUGCAAGUCGAACGGCAGCACGGGAGCAAUCCUGGUGGCGAGUGGCGAACGGGUGAGUAAAGUAUCGGAACGUGCCCAGUCGUGGGGGAUAACGUAGCGAAAGUUACGCUAAUACCGCAUACGAUCUAUGGAUGAAAGCGGGGGAUCGCAAGACCUCGCGCGAUUGGAGCGGCCGCUAUCAGAUUAGGUAGUUGGUGGGGUAAAGGCUCACCAAGCCGACGAUCUGUAGCUGGUCUGAGAGGACGACCAGCCACACUGGGACUGAGACACGGCCCAGACUCCUACGGGAGGCAGCAGUGGGGAAUUUUGGACAAUGGGCGAAAGCCUGAUCCAGCCAUGCCGCGUGCAGGAUGAAGGCCUUCGGGUUGUAAACUGCUUUUGUACGGAACGAAAAGGUUUGGCCUAAUAAGCUGAGCUCAUGACGGUACCGUAAGAAUAAGCACCGGCUAACUACGUGCCAGCAGCUGCCGUAA
rnacentral:rRNA from 1 species